rnacentral:rRNA from 1 species
GACAGAGGGUGCAAACGUUGCUCGGAUUUACUGGGCGUAAAGCGCGUGUAGGCGGGCGACUAAGUCGGAUGUGAAAUCCCUGGGCUCAACCUAGGAACUGCAUUCGAAACUGGUCACCUAGAGUGAUGGAGAGGAAAGCGGAAUUCCCGGUGUAGAGGUGAAAUUCGUAGAUAUCGGGAGGAACACCAGUGGCGAAGGCGGCUCUCUGGGACGGUACUGACGCUGAGACGCGAAAGCGUGGGGAGCAAACAGG